GGCAGCGAGCAGCCGGCGCCCUUUCUUCUUGAUCGGCUCCUCCUCGCUGCCCGAGCCUCCUUCGAGAGAUUUUACACAGACAACAGCACCAAACCUCAGAAAUGAUUUCACACUUUAAAGCGUGAACCGACGAUGAAUGACUAUUGCCUGAUAGCAAAGAUCGGCGAAGGGACGUUUUCAGAGGUCUGGAAAGCACAAAGCUUAAAAGAUGGGACCUACUACGCCUGUAAAAAGAUGAAACAGUAUUUCGAAAGCUUAGAGGAAGUGAACAAUCUACGUGAAAUUCAAGCUAUGCGCAGACUGAGCUUACAUCCUAAUAUUCUUCAGCUACAUGAUGUGGCUUUUGAUAAAAAAUAUGGGUCUCUUGCUCUAAUAUGCGAACUCAUGGACAUGAAUAUCUAUGAAUUGAUACAAGGGCGAAGGCAUCCUUUACCUGAAAGUAAAAUAAAGAAUUAUAUGUAUCAGCUAUGCAAGUCCCUUGAUUACAUGCACAGAAAUGGAAUUUUUCAUCGAGAUGUAAAACCUGAAAAUAUCUUAAUUAAGCAAAACUUGCUGAAGUUGGCAGAUUUUGGUUCCUGCAGGAGUAUGUUCUCAAAGCAGCCGUAUACAGAAUAUAUUUCCACCCGAUGGUAUCGAGCCCCAGAAUGCCUACUUACUGAUGGGUACUACAGCUUCAAAAUGGACAUCUGGAGCACAGGCUGUGUUUUCUUUGAAAUAACCAGUCUACAGCCAUUAUUUCCUGGUUCUAAUGAAGUUGAUCAAAUUGCAAAAAUCCAUGAAGUUGUUGGUACUCCAAAAUCUGAAACUCUGAGAAAGUUCAAACAAACACGAGCUAUGAGUUUUAACUUUCCAAAAAAGAAGGGAACAGGAAUAUCAUGUCUCAUUCCUCACACUCGUUCUGAAACUAUUUCAUUGAUGCAUGCAAUGAUGGAGUAUGACCCUGAAGAACGAAUUACUGCUAAGCAUGCAUUGCAGCAUCCAUAUUUUCAUGAUCUGAGAUUGGCAGAAAGACAAACCAAUAUUGUACAUCGUUCAGUUAAAUGCUUAGAAGGAAAUGCAAACAAUUUAAGUCCAAGUGUGGUUCAUAAUCUAUGGAGAAUCCAUAAGGGACGGAAACGGGGUAUCCCUAUACGACGUCAAGUCCCUGUGGAACUGCCAAAGCUGAACGUGCCAGCCGCAACAAAGCAUGCUGGUUAUCCCAAUCGGAUUUUAAAGCCAGUUUUUCCAAAAGUAUCAAUGCAUAAAACUGGAACUCUACCUCAAGUCUCAUCUGUACAGUAUCUUGGAAAAAAUAAGUGCUUUUGUGGAGAGGGAAGGAGAGGCAUAGCAAUGCAAGGCUGGAACAAGGUUAUUUAUCAAGUAAAACUUUUAUGGCUUGAAUUGAAAGAGGCGAGAGAUAAUAAAACUAAAGGAAAGCUGUAGCAAAAUUAUCCAGAUUAUUGGGAAAGAUCCUCAUUUUCAAGUACCUUCUCAUUACAAUCUUCUUCGGCUCUGCAAUUCUUUGAGAUAUCUGCUUUCUUUGUGAACUUUCAUCAGAGCACCAUUGGUGACCCUCCUUCUCAAGACCAUUUAACCCUCAUAUGCUUUCUGCCUUUCAUUUGGUCUUUCCUUUGAGACACUCCUUUAACACUGCUUUAUGAUGUCAUUUGGUUGUCAUUUUUUUUUGUAAUACUUUGUAUGUUUUACAUCAUUUUAGUUCCCUUAUAAAUAUACUGUUGCUGUAGAGAAAGAAAAUAAAGUAAGCACAAAAAUAUUAAGGGAUAUCAGUCAAGAGUAAUGAGGAUAUUUUAAAAAUUGGUGGUUAUAUUGUAAAUGAAAAUGAGGAAAUAACUAAAUAAUUCCUGUGUGUUUUCCCAAUGGAAGAAAAUCAUAUUCCAUGAAAAUCAAAAGCUCGGUUUACACUAACUUGAACAAGUACACUGUACCAACAAAAAUACUAAUAACCACUAACAAAUCCUCAGGAACUGAUGGUUCCAUCCUAGGGUUUGAAAGGAAGUAAGCAAGGAAGCUAGAUGAUUGAGCUGUAUUCUCCUAUUCAGCAAUUGUCCCUUUGGACUGGAAAAUUAUAAGCAUAACUCUUAUAUAAGGACAAUGAAAGAGAAACCAGAGAAAUAGUCACUUGUUAAUCUAGCAUCUGUUAUAAAGUUAUUGUUCAGAGGAAUUUGAGAUAUUUUGAAUGAGCCAACUUGGAUCUGAUAUGGGUAGAUCAUGUCUUAAAAUCCUAAUUUAAGUUUUCAAUAAGCAGCCAAGCAGAAUAUCCGUAGAUAUAACUUUUGGAAGGUCUUGAAGGAAUUCAGUAAUAUUUCACUUUAUAAAGCUUAUAAAGUUAAAUCAAAUUUUAUGUUACUGAAUUGGUUAAAAUAUUGGAAAAAUAAUAGAACUAUAUAGAAUGGAUAAUAUUAGAGAUAGAGGUUACUAGCUCGUUGUCAUUUCUGGCCACUUUAUUCUCAAUCAUCUGUUUUAGUAUAAAUGUUUAGCCUCUUCUUCCUUUUAUGAUUGUUAUCAAUUUGACUCAUUUAAUAUUAAUAAAUUCUGCAUACCUACCACUAAAAGUUGUAAAAAUUCAUGUUUGAUUGAAACUAUGAGGGCGGCAUGGUAACAUAGCAAUUAGUGUAAUGCAGUUACAGCUUGAGUGACACAGGUUCAAUUCCUGCAGCUGUCUGUAAGGAGUUAGUAUGUUCUCCUCAUGUCCUCUGGGCAUGCCGGUUUCCUCCCACACUCCAAAGGUUAAUUGGUCACAUGGUUAUAAUUAGUGCAGGCUUGUUGGGCCAGAAUGGCCUGUUACUGUGCUGUAUCUCUUAAGUUUAAAAUAAAGUUGGUGAGUAUCUUAUAUUGAUGACCUUUAAUUUUGCUGUUCUUCACAAGUGGAAUCAAAUUCAAUCAAAUUAUUCAUGAUUUUAAAUACCCAAAGAGUAGAGUUAAUGGUACAUAAAUCUAAUUGGCAGGAAACUAUUAGUUGUGUCUGACAGUAUUUAUGCUGAGCAUUCAGCUAUAUAUUUGUUCUCGAUCCUGAUAACAUAAAAGUAAUGCUUUGAAACUUGCUGAUGAUGCAGACUUUGUCACUCAAGUACUGUUAAUGGAAACAUAAGACUAUAAAAUAUUUCAAAAGAUCUUGAUAGAUAUAAGAGAAUGGACAAAAAAGUGACAAAUACAUUUCAAUACAGAUUAACUGCUAGUACAACAAUCUUAGACCCAAAAUGGAAUAGAACCUAGGAACAGUGGAGUUCUAAAGAUGCUUAGAUUACAAAAAAUGUUGCAUUUUGGUGCAGAAAUGGUUAAUUGAAUUAACCAUUUAACCAAUUAAAAGGUUAAUUGAACUAGAACAUAAAAGGGUGGAAGUUUUGUGAUAUCUGGAUAAUGCUUUAGUUGCAAAACAUCCAGAAUACAUAAAUAGUCAAAUCACAACACUUUGGAUUCCAGUUAAUUGCAAUACAUUGGGACCAGUGUAUUUUGGCCUAAUUAAGUGGUUGCCCCAAUUCGCUAGCUAAGUUUCAUGGAAAUGGUUAAAAAAACAUAAAAAAGACAAAUUACCAUUUAACUGAGUAACAAAUUAUGCACUUAAAUGAAACACAGAACAAAUUAGUACUCUAUCAAUACUACUAUAGUAGUAUAAAACUGUAUUAGUUUCUAAUAGUUGUUGAUGGAGGAGGUCAUCCAGUGUAUGCUGCCGUGUUCUUUUGAUUAACUGUAGAGGAACAAGGGUAAAUUUUUUCAGCUAGUGUCAAAUCUUUUCAUGGCACCUUGGCAAAGGUCUGUAAUUUUUAAAGUCAAAAAAUAAAAUGAUCAAAAAUCACAGCUAUUUGAAUCAGCAUCAUCAGCCCAAACAGAAAACAUAACACAAGCAUACACAACUAAUGCUAUUAGAGAAUUGCUCACUCUAAGCAUGAUGUAGUGUCUAACAGCCACACAAGUGCAUGUGACCCUUCAUCAGAACUGGGAAAGGAAGAAAACAAAUUAGUUUACCGAAAUUAUGGGGCUCAGACCAUUAAUUAUUUCACUUUGUUUUUAUUUCAGGGUCUUAGCAUUUGCAGUUUUGUUUUGAAUCUCCAUUUAAUCAGGUGCUAAUUAAUCAUAUGAUUUAACAGGGGAAUUUUCUCCACUGAUGAAAAGCCAAGUCUAAAUUUCAACUAAAUUUCAAUUUGUAUAUCUGUGAAGUUACAAUGUAUAUAUUUUUUAUAAGCUUGACUGAUAAUGAGAAAUUAAUAUUUAUAAUACUCCUUGUUAGUUUUAUGAGACCAACUGAAAUCUUAACUUCUCCAGGAAUGGAUUUAUCAACUUUCUUUUCAGCUUUUUUACUUUUCUGUUAUUAGAGGAAAUAGUUCAAAAGGGAUGGGUUAAGUUGAAAUGCCCUAAGAUCCGGGUAUGUUUUAGGUAAAGCCAUCAAAAACUUUUAUGCAUAUACAAACAUGGAAGGAGUAUUACGUUUGUUAAUUAAUCACUUUUCUUUCAUCUCUCCACCACCUCAAAAUAAAAGGAGGGCCCAUUCAAUCUUUCUACUCUUCAACAAGAGAUUUUGUCAGUCCGGAAGAGCACUGAUGAUCAGAGAUAAUUUGGUUUGGAUUUCCAGUAUGAAAGGCACUUCUAGAGAUGUGGAUACUAUAGAGAGAGUGCAGAGGAGAUAUACAAGGAUGUUGUCUGGAUGGAGAGUGUGGCUUAUGGUAAUACGUUGAGUGAACUUGGCCUUUUCUCCUUGGAGCGACAGAAGAGAAAUGACCUUUUGGAGGUGUUUAAGCUGAUGAGAGGUCCCGAGCUCCGAUUUUGAAGAACUUUCAAGGAAAAGAAAAAACCACAGGUCUAUAAGUUGAACCUGUCCUGCAGAAAAGCCCACAAGGAGCGAGACACUUUCGGCUGUAGCUGUCAGAUGAUUGAAAUCAUGGCAGGUGAUAAAAAUGGCAACAGUUAUAACAUAUUGCAAACCGACUCAAUAAAACAGCACUGAAAGCAAAUAUAAAUAAUUCCUUGGAGGACAGACAACACUAGAAAUGUACACAUGAUCCUUUUCUGAUGUGACAAGACUGAUGGAACGCAGUCGUCUCUUCUAUCAGAAUGAAAAGUGUAUUUCCCAUAUUAUAGCAAAAUGGAUUUUAACUUUAUACUCAUCUUAUAAUAAUUUGGUUUGUACCUCACUACAGCAUGGCCUCAUCAUUUCUCAGAAAUAUCAACCUUAAUUACGGUUCAUGCCAAGAUCCAGGUACAGCACUAGCAUUGAACCCAUAUUAGUAAAAACAAGAACAUCUACAAAGUGAACAGCUCAGUCACAUUUCAUACUAAAGACCAGUAUGAAGUUCAAGACAAAAGAAAAUCUGCAGAUACUGGAAAUCCAAACACACACAAAAUGCUGGAGGAACUCAGGUCAGGCAGCAUCUAUGAAAAAAAGAGUACAGUAAAUAUUUCAGGUUGAGACCUUUCAUCAGGACUGAAGAUGAGGAGUCAAAGUAAGGUGGUGGGGGGAGUGGAGGGAAGUUCAAGAUAUUUGUAGCUGUCACCUGAACAAAAAGGCACAAGCCAAGAAAAGCAACUACAAAUGAUCAAAGCUGGCAUUGGAACAUAUUGUUACGCUGUUGCAGAAGACAAACUUUUUCAAAUAACAGAACCAAAUGCAAUAACAUUUUAUUUUGUAUGCGAACCUAAAUACUAACAAUGAUAUUGGAAUUAACUUGCUUGAAGGAAAUCAAAUUAAAAUAUUUUAAAUUAUAUGUUAAAAAUUGGGACAAAAGUAGUUCUUUACCAUCGGACAUUUUUCUCCAUUCUUUACAUACCUGUUAAAGUUAAAAUAGACAACUGGAUGAUAGUAAUUACAAUUUGCAUUUGCUUUACUUGCCAAGAAAUCAGAUUUAGCAAAAUAAAUCUAGAGGUCACUUUAAUAUUACAGCUUAGGGACAAAAUUUAUAUUUACAUUCAAUCAUAAAGGAGCAACCCAUGCUGCAGCAUAUAAAACAGGACUCAACUUCCAGCACCCUGUUCUGUUUGAGAUUCUAGAAUCUGUGCUUUUUAACAAUAAUGCUGCAAACAUGGUCAAAACUUUCUACCCGUCAAACAUCUUUAAAUGCAACACAACUACACGAGUUAUUUUUUAAUAUUACCAAAUUCAAUAAUAUAAUUCAAGCUCAAUUUUAAUCAAAAUAACUACUUGCUUAGAAGACACGCAAAACCUCAGCUGACAGGAUGAAUUUCUCAUUUGUUAUGACUCAAAGGGUAGCCAGUUGACUCAUCACAUCCAUGCUGGCUCUCAGAUUAAUACCAUCAGUCCAAUUUGCCCACUGUUUUUCCCCUGUAACACAUUCUCUCGCAUACACAUCUGCCCCAUCUUUAUUCUAUCACACACCUACACUAGGAGCAAUUAAUUAUAACCCUGCCGGUCAGAAUGUCUUUGAGAUGUGGGAAGAAACUGAAAACCCACACAACUACAGUGAGAAUGUACAAACUGCACAAAGGUAGCACCAACCUUGUGUAGCUGGAGCCAUGAAGCAGUAGCAUGACCUGUGGCAUUGCUCUGCUGUGCCAAACAGAAACAAAUGACUGAUUUAUAAUACAUUUAAAUAUUAGCCUCUGUAGAAUAUCAAAUAAAAUAAUAGCAUCCAUGAAUUCAAUCUAGAUGUGUUUAAUGAGUUUCCCUUGUCUUUCCAAGGUUCUAGUACAGAUACAUGAGUAUACAGUACAUGUAGUUUAGUUUGGAGAGCAAGCUACAACUUGAUGGAAAACUGCAAGUGUACAUGCCUCUGCUUUACUAUAAUAAAUAUCAUUAUCUAUUCUUGUACUUUAAGUACACCACAGUAGUUAAUUUAUUAUUGAUAGCAGCAGUUUGCAUAAUUAAAUUUAACCGAAGGUGAUUGUCAAGUGGUAAAAGUAUUAAGAUUAGAUUUACUUGUCACAUAUGCAUCGAAACAGAGUGAAAUGCAUCAUUUGCAUCAAUGACCCACACAUCCGAAGGUGACACCUGUGUGCUGGAGACAGCCAGCAGGCAUCACUUUGCUUCUAGCACCAACACAGCAUUUUCACAACUUGCUAACCCAAACGUCUUUGGAAUAUGGGGGAACCAGAACACCCAGAGGAAAUCCCUGCGGUCACACUGAGAACAUUAAAAAUUCCUUACAAAUUGAAUCUUGAUUUCUGAUUGCUGGUGCUGUAAUGGUGUUAUACCAACCACUUACACUACCAUUCCACAUAUGUUUCAACAGUAAAACUAUUCUGUGUCAUGCUGGUAAAGUCAUUACUCCAAUGUUAAAAAUACACUGAGAACUUGUUUAAUGUCUUAUUUUAAAACCUCUUUCUAAUGUUUUUGUGACUUUUUGUAAAUAUUUUUGAACUUGCAUUUCUGUACU